AGCUUGUCCCUCCCGCUGCUGCUUGUUACAGAGACGGCCUCUCCCUCGGGCCCCGCAGACACCCCGAGGACAGAGGCUUAUCCGACAAGCGCCCUGCCUGCCUUCCCAGAAAAAUGACACUCUGUGAAAAUUCCAGCAGGCCACCUCAUUUCUGCCGGGAGGUCACCUGGGCCAUGGUGACUUCACAAGGACCCACAGUGCCCUCGCCUCUCAUUUCUUCCCAGGCAUCAAAGUUGCCCUGCAAGGGGCAUACGAGAAGGCCCAGAGGUGCCCCUGCCGGCCUGUCGCAGUCCCCAGGUGCCUCAGGUGCCAGAGGAGGCAGAACCUGAGAGCAGGUGGUCAGGGUGGUGGGGACUGUAGGAGAAGGGUGCUGGGCUAUGGGCUGCUCAGUGCACCUGAGUGACCUGGAGGGACCGCCGAUAGCCGUGGAGGGGAGUGGGAGGGAAGACUCAGCGUGCUCCACCGCCCUCAUACUUCUUGGACCUCCGCGUGGCCGGCCUUGGAGCUGCUCGCGGAUCCGCCCUCAGGUCACGCCGCCGAAUGUCUGAGCGUGAGCCCAGCGCGCCUCAGCAUUUGCCAAGGUUAAUGAAAGGAAGUGAUAACUCAGCAUUUAUUUCCUCCUCCUGGAUUUCGUAGCUGUAGACCUCACCCUACGUCAAAUUCCUCUUUCAAAGCUUUGGCUCCCCCGAAGACAGCCGGCCUCCAGGAGAAGAUCAGCCCGCCCACCGUGGGGUCUGCAGGGGAAACAGAUGAGCCUGGCUCUGCGGACAGCCAGGGACCACGUGGUCCAUCCUGGAAAGCAUCCUCCUGCUUGGACGGUGAUAACAUGCUACUUCCGCAGAAAGAAGGAGAGGGAAAGUGAGGAGCACAGUUGGAUGCUGGCGGCAGUGCGGGCUCCCGGGCGCCCUCUGUGCUCGCUGCUGCUCCACCCUCCACACUGCGAAACAGUCGUCCACGGAGGCAGAGCGCUCGCACGUGUGAGGAUGUGCGGUGGAUGUGGCUCCCCACAAGGGAUUUUGCAACUUAUUGAAGUCAUUGUUUCCAGAAUAAACCAUGUGUCAUUCUCUCCCUUAGUAA